GGAGGGGUGGCCGAGUGGUUGAAGGCACCGGUCUUGAAAACCGGCAGGCGCGCGAGCGUCUCGUGGGUUCGAAUCCACCCCCUCCGCCA
rnacentral:tRNA from 1 species